GGAGGGAUCAUUACUGAGUUUACGCUCUAUAACCCUUUGUGAACAUACCUAUAACUGUUGCUUCGGCGGGUAGGGUCUCCGUGACCCUCCCGGCCUCCCGCCCCCGGGCGGGUCGGCGCCCGCCGGAGGAUAACCAAACUCUGAUUUAACGACGUUUCUUCUGAGUGGUACAAGCAAAUAAUCAAAACUUUUAACAACGGAUCUCUUGGUUCUGGCAUCGAUGAAGAACGCAGCGAAAUGCGAUAAGUAAUGUGAAUUGCAGAAUUCAGUGAAUCAUCGAAUCUUUGAACGCACAUUGCGCCCGCCAGCAUUCUGGCGGGCAUGCCUGUUCGAGCGUCAUUUCAACCCUCAAGCUCUGCUUGGUGUUGGGGCCCUACAGCUGAUGUAGGCCCUCAAAGGUAGUGGCGGACCCUCCCGGAGCCUCCUUUGCGUAGUAACUUUACGUCUCGCACUGGGAUCCGGAGGGACUCUUGCCGUAAAACCCCCAAUUUUCCAAAGGUUGACCUCGGAUCAGGUAGGAAUACCCGCUGAACUUAAGCAUAUCAAUAAGCGGAGGAAAAGAAACCAACAGGGAUUGCCUCAGUAACGGCGAGUGAAGCGGCAACAGCU
rnacentral:rRNA from 1 species